CGAUUGAUCUUGUCGGUAAUACACGUUUGUUUCAAUACGUAAGCCAUGCAUUUCUAAGAUCAGUGCCCCUGGAGGCGCGAAUCUGUGGACGGCUCAUUACAUCAGUUAUACUGUGCUCGAUCGAUCGACUUUUUAUGAAUAACCUCUGGGAAAGCCAGGGCUAAUGCAUACCAAAGGGUGCGUGGCCUUUGCGCCGCGUGACUCGUACUUUUUAGCUUGAAAAGCCGGCUCGCCUCACGGCGGAACCCGCGACGAUUCAUGAAAAUUUCCACUAACCGGCUGCAAAGCGGCGCCCUGUGCGUCGUCGCCGGCGUUUCGAAUCAGUUUCUGCCCUAUCAACUUUGGACUGUAGUGUAGAGGACUACAGUGGUUUUAACGGGUACGGAGAAUCGGGGUUUGACUCCGGAGAAGGAGCCUGAGAAACGGCUGCUACUUCUAAGGAAGGCAGCAGGCGCGCAAAUUUCCCAAUGCCAAAUCGGUGAGGAAGUGACAAAAAAUAUCAACGCAGGUCGAAGCAUUCGACUUGCGAUUGAAAUGAGAACAAGGUAAAACGCUUAUCGAGUAGCCACUGGAGGGCAAGUCUGGUGCCAGCAGCCGCGGUAACUCCAGCUCCAGGAACGUGUGUUAAUGUUGUUGCUGUUAAAAAGCUCGUAGUUGGAUGUGUGCGGCGUUUCGUAUGAACUGGCCCGGCAGAAUGCCGUGUGCUGUUCUCGCGUCGCAUUCCGCUCCGUCGUGGGGGUCGGCGUCCCUCCGGGGUCGCGUCGGCCAUCUAACCCGCACGGGGCCGUUUACUUUGAGAAAAUGAGAGUGCUCCAAGCAGCCGAAUCACAUUCGGGCGUUGAAUCAUGCAGCAUGGGAUAAUGGAACAGGAUCUUGCUCCGCGUUUCGUUGGUUUUUGGGUGCGAGAUAAUGAUUAACAGACACGGGCGGGGGUACUGGUAUUCACAUGUCAGAGGUGAAAUUCAUGGAUUUUGUGAGGACCAACCUAUGCGAAAGCGUCUACCUAGGACGUUUUCAUUAAUCAAGAACGAAAGUUAGGGGAUCGAAGAUGAUCAGAUACCGUCGUAGUCCUAACCAUAAACGAUGCCGGCUAGGAAUUCGGAGACGUUACAAACUUUUACGACUCCCCGAGCGCCUUUUGAGAAAUCGAAGCUUUUGGGUUCGGGGGGGAGUAUGGUCGCAAGGCUGAAACUUAAAAGAAUUGACGGAAGGGCACCACCAGGCGUGGAGCUUGCGGCUUAAUUUGACCCAACACGGGAAAACUUACCAGGUCCAGACAUAAGAAGGAUUGACAGAUUGAGAGCUCUUUCAUGAUUUUAUGGGUGGUGGUGCAUGGCCGAUCUUAGUUGGUGGAGUGAUUUGUCUGGUUGAUUCCGUUAACGAACGAGACCUCCGCAUGCUAACUAGUUAC
rnacentral:rRNA from 1 species